UCUUUGUGCCAGAAGAGAAGAGACACACCCA
rnacentral:piRNA from 1 species